rnacentral:rRNA from 1 species
UAGAGAUAGUCUUUCCCUUGUGGCUGGUGUACAGUGGUGCAUGGUUGUCGUCAGCUCGUGUCGUGGGAUGUUGGGUUAAGUCCCGCAACGAGCGCAACCCUUGUCUUAUGUUGCCAGCACGUGAUGGUGGGGACUCAUGAGAGACUGCCGGGGUUAACUCGGAGGAAGGUGGGGAUGACGUCAAAUCAUCAUGCCCCUUAUGUCCAGGGCUUCACACAUGCUACAAUGGUCGGUACAACGCGUGUGCGACACUGUGAGGUGAAGCUAAUCGCUCUAAAGCCGGUCGUAGUUCGGAUUGGGGUCUGCAACUCGACCCCAUGAAGUCGGAGUCGCUAGUAAUCGCAGAUCAGCAACGCUGCGGUGAAUACGUUCCCGGGCCUU